UACGUAGGGGGCAAGCGUUGUCCGGAAUCAUUGGGCGUAAAGCGCGCGUAGGCGGCCCGGUAAGUCCGUUGUGAAAGUCAAAGGCUCAACCUUUGAAUGCCGACGGAUACUGCCGGGCUAGAGUCCGGAAGAGGCGAGUGGAAUUCCUGGUGUAGCGGUGGAAUGCGCAGAUAUCAGGAAGAACACCCGUGGCGAAGGCGGCUCUCUGGGACGGUACUGACGCUGAGACGCGAAAGCGUGGGGAGCGAACGGG
rnacentral:rRNA from 1 species